GUGCUUGCUUCACUGCAUAUAUACUAAAACUGGAAAGAUACAGAGAAGACCAGCAUGGCCCCUACACAAGGAUGGAAGCAAAUUCGUGAAGCAUUCCAUAUUUAU